UGGCGACUCCUGGGUGAUGUAAACAAAGAGGAUCAGUCAAAAAUGUUUGAUUUCUUUUUUUUUCAAAGCUUCUGCUCUUUGUAUUUGUUUAUUUUACAAGAAAUCUACAGAAAGGUAAAGUUUUUGUUUAUGAAAUUUUAUUAAAUGCAACUGUUUUUGCUUGCAGCCCAACUUCAGGAAUAAAGUCAAUUUUGGCAUCAUCAAUAGUAGAUCAGUUUCCAUGUUUAAAGGACUGCCGUGGCACAGGAUAUGAUGUGUGGUUCAGCCCUUGCAGAACUCAUAGGCCAGCAACUGGAUUUCUGAAGGAGUUUCUACGCAAUGUCAGGAAAAGGCUUCGUUCUAUCAGGAAGAAGAAUUCAGAACCAAAGAAACCCCGAGAAAAUGUUCACCUUGCCUGGUUACCCAAAGUCAUGCGUCCAGGUUUGGGAAUUCCUUCACACUGCCAUCUAUCCCAGGAAUAGAUGAAUCCCAGGACAUGAAUCAAAUAUAUAGUCAAAUGAAUGAGGGCUCAUUUAGCUAUGAUGGAAGUGUAAAAUGUUGCUCAUAAAGCUGCAUGAAGUGGUCUGACAGGGAGAUUCCCUCUUGUCACUUUUCCAAAGUGUUGAUGU